rnacentral:rRNA from 1 species
GUGAGGAAUUUUCCGCAAUGGGCGAAAGCCUGACGGAGCGACGCCGUGUGGGUGAUGAAGGUUUUCGGAUCUUAAAGCCCUGUCAGCAGGAACGAUAUUGACGGUACCUGCAGAGGAAGCCCCGGCUAACUACGUGCCAGCAGCCGCGGUAAUACGUAGGGGGCAAACGUUGUCCGGAAUCAUUGGGCGUAAAGCGCUUGUAGGCGGUCGCAUAAGUCAGAUGUAAAAUCCCCACGCUUAACGUGGGUCCGCAUUUGAUACUGUGCGGCUAGAGGAAUGUAGAGGAAAGCGGAACUACCGGUGUAGCGGUGAAAUGCGUAGAUAUCGGUAGGAACACCAGUGGCGAAGGCGGCUUUCUGGACAUUUUCUGACGCUGAGAAGCGAAAGCUAGGGGAGCAAACGGGAUUAGAUACCCCUGUAGUCC